UGUGCUCACUGAACACGUGGUUACAGAGUGCUCUGGACAAGAGGAAGAUCUAUCACCUGACCAGUGGGGAUGGAGUGAACAGUGACUGGAACCCAAGGCUGGGUGACAAGAGUGGUGUCAUUUCACUGGCUUGGGGAACCAAAUGGCACCCAAAGGGAGUGGUUCAAGCCCUCUACAGCCACCUGCACUCUCAGCAGUAUUUAAGGGCAGGGGUGCUUUUAUUUAUUUAUGCAAGCUGCUGAGAGUCCUGCAAAUGGAUCUCGUCGAACAGACACGGUUUCCACGACCAUAUUUCAGUGGGAUGUGAUGAGAGUGCCACAUGCUGAGUUCCUGCAGAAUCACUUCUUCAGAAGACAGAAAUUUCUAUUGGGUACUUAGAACCAAGCAAUAGGGAUGCCGUGCACUCUGUUAACAUCACUUGCUCCUGGUGGCAGAAAAGCAGCAAUCAACACCCUGACCACAACCACGGCGAGCAGCAACGGGGC